rnacentral:rRNA from 1 species
GAUGAACGCUAGCGGUAGGCCUAAUACAUGCAAGUCGAACGGUGUCUUCGGACAUAGUGGCGCACGGGUGCGUAACACGUAUGCAACCUACCUUACAUUGGGGGAUAGCCUUUCGAAAGGGAGAUUAAUACCGCAUAAGACAGUAGCUGGGCAUCCAGCAGCUGUUAAAGAUUUAUCGAUGUAAGCUGGGCAUGCGUCCAAUUAGCUAGUUGGUGAGGUAACGGCUCACCAAGGCAAUGAUUGGUAGGGGAACUGAGAGGUCAAUCCCCCACACUGGCACUGAGAUACGGGCCAGACUCCUACGGGAGGCAGCAGUAGGGAAUAUUGGGCAAUGGACGCAAGUCUGACCCAGCCAUGCCGCGUGCAGGAUGAAGGCGUUAUGCGUUGUAAACUGCUUUUAUACAGGAAGAAACGACUCUUGCGAGAGGCAUUGACGGUACUGUAUGAAUAAGCACCGGCUAACUCCGUGCCAGUCGCCGCCGUAAUAC